UCAAGCUACAAAGAGCACAAGGGGAAUGCCUUGGCACCGAGAGCCGAAGAAGGACGUGACUAACUGCGAUAAGCUGCGGGGAGCCGUAAGUAGGCUUUGAUCCGCAGAUUUCCGAAUGGAGCAAUCCGGCAAGAGGAAAGUCUUGUCAUCAUAUACUGAAUACAUAGGUAUAUGAGGGGAACCGCCUGAACUGAAACAUCUAAGUAGGGCGAGGAAGAGAAAUCAACUGAGAUUCCGUAAGUAGUGGCGAGCGAACGCGGAAGAGGCCAAACCGAGAGUAGUAAUACUUUCGGGGUUCGGACAGAAAACGGUAUUGUAAAGGUUUAGUGGAAUGGAAUGGGAAGUCCAACCGAAGAAGGUGAGAGUCCUGUACACGAAAAGCCUGAACAGCCAUCUGUAUCCAGAGUACCGCCGGACACGUGAAACCCGGUGGGAAUACGGGGGGACCAUCCUCCAAGCCUAAAUACUACUCGGUGACCGAUAGUGAAGAAGUACUGUGAAGGAAAGGUGAAAAGUACCCCUGACGGGGAGUGAAAAAGAACCUGAAACCUUGUGUUUACAAGCACCGAAAGCUCAUCAAAGAGCGAUCGGGUACCUUUUGUAGAAUGGUCCGGCGAGUGAAUGUAACCGGCGAGGUUAAGCACUUAAGGUGUGAAGCCGCAGCGAGAGCAAGUCUGAAUAGGGCGUAUGAAGUCGGUUGUAUUCGACCCGAAACCGGGUGACCUACCCAUGGUCAGGUUGAAGUAAAGGUAAAACUUUAUGGAGGACCGAACCGACUCCCGUUGAAAUGGUAGCGGAUGAACUGUGGGUAGCGGAGAAAUUCCAAUCGAACCCGGAGAUAGCUGGUUCUCUCCGAAAUAGCUUUAGGGCUAGCCUUGAAAUAGAUUACCGGAGGUAAAGCACUGAAUUGGCUAGGGGCCGAGAGGUUACUGAACCUUAUCAAACUAAGAAUGCCGGAUAAUCGUUUUUCAGGAGUCAGACAGUGGGAGAUAAGUUUCAUUGUCAAAAGGGAAACAGCCCAGACCCACAGCUAAGGUCCCCAAGUAUAGUUAAGUGGAAAAGGAUGUGGAAUUGCACAGACAACCAGGAUGUUGGCUUAGAAGCAGCCACUCAUUAAAAGAGUGCGUAAUAGCUCACUGGUCGAGUGACUCUGCGCCGAAAAUUUAACGGGGCUAAACUAUACACCGAAGCUUGGGAUACAUCUAAUGUAUGGUAGGAGAGCGUUCUGUAUGGGGAGAAGUCGUAGCGAAAGCGGCGGUGGACUAUACAGAAGUGAGAAUGCCGGAAUAAGUAGCGAGAAUUAAGUGAGAAUCUUAAUGGCCGAAAGUCUAAGGUUUUUGGAGGAAGGUUCGUCCGCUCCAAGUAAGUCGGGAGCUAAGGUCAGGCCGAAAGGCGUAGCCGAUGCACAUACGGUUGAUAUUCCGUAACCAUCUGUAAUUUAAGCAAAGGGACACUUCAAAAGGGUGUGACCCGGGCGUUGGUUGACCCGGGCGUAAGGGACCGAAAUUAGAGUAGGGAAGCACACUUAGCUGAAGGCGAGAAAAGCUUUGCGUAUAGAAACAGAUGCCCGUACCGCAAACCGACACAGGUGGACAGGAAGAGAAUUCUAAGGCCAGCGGGAGAAGGGUAGUUAAGGAACUCGGCAAAUUGACUCCGUAACUUCGGAAUAAGGAGUGCUCGAAAGAGCCGCAGAGAAUAGGCCCAGGCGACUGUUUAGCAAAAACACAGGUCUCUGCCAAAUCGAAAGAUGAAGUAUAGGGGCUGACACCUGCCCGGUGCCGGAAGGUUAAGAGGAGGAGUGAGAGCUCCGAAUUGAAGCCCCGGUAAACGGCGGCCGUAACUAUAACGGUCCUAAGGUAGCGAAAUUCCUUGUCGGGU
rnacentral:rRNA from 1 species